GACGAACUGCCCAAACGUUGUUCGGAAUCACUGGGCUUAAAGGGCGCGUAGGCGGCAGAUCAAGUCAGGGGUGAAAUCCGGCAGCUCAACUGUCGAAGUGCCUUUGAUACUGAUUUGCUCGAGGGAUAUAGGGGUCUGUGGAACUUCUGGUGGAGCGGUGAAAUGCGCAGAUAUCAGGAAGAACACCCGUGGCUAAGGCGGCUCUCUAGUACGGUACUGACGCUGAGACGCGAAAGCGUGGGGAGCGAACAGG
rnacentral:rRNA from 1 species